rnacentral:rRNA from 1 species
CGCGUAGGCGGUCUGGUCAGUCGGAUGUGAAAGCCCUGGGCUCAACCUGGGAAUUGCAUUCGAUACUGCCAAACUAGAAUGUGGAAGAGGGAAGUGGAAUUUCCGGUGUAGCGGUGAAAUGCGUAGAUAUCGGAAGGAACACCAGUGGCGAAGGCGGCUUCCUGGUCCAACAUUGACGCUGAGGUGCGAAAGCGUGGGGAGCGAACAGGAUUAGAUACCCUGUAGUCC